AUUGUACUCCCUCCGUCCGGAAAUACUUGUCCGAGGAAUGGAUGUAUCUAGAUGUAUUUUAGUUCUAGAUACAAUCAUUUGUAUCCAUUUCUACGACAGGUAUUUCCGGACGGAGGGAGUAUUAU
rfam:Triticum aestivum genome assembly, contig: Triticum_aestivum_CS42_TGACv1_scaffold_621594_7DS